rnacentral:rRNA from 1 species
UGAGGAAUUUUCCGCAAUGGGCGCAAGCCUGACGGAGCAAUACCGCGUGGAGGAGGAAGGCCCGUGGGUCGUAAACUCCUUUUCUCAGAGAAGAACACAAUGACGGUAUCUGAGGAAUAAGCAUCGGCUAACUCCGUGCCAGCAGCCGCGGUAAUACGGAGGAUGCAAGCGUUAUCCGGACUGAUUGGGUGUAAAGCAUCUGUAGGCGGUUUUGGAAGUCUACGGUUAAAUCCCAGAGCUUAACUUUGG